CUGUAACUGACGNUGAGGUUCGAAAGCGUGGGUAGCAAACAGGAUUAGAUACCCUGGUAGUCCACGCUGUAAACGAUGAAUGUUAAGUGUUGGAGGGUUUCCGCCCUUCAGUGCCGCAGCAAACGCAUUAAGCAUUCCGCNUGGGGAGUACGACCGCAAGGUUGAAACUCAAAGGAAUUGACGGGGGCCCGCACAAGCGGUGGAGCAUGUGGUUUAAUUCGAAGCAACGCGAAGAACCUUACCAGGUCUUGACAUCUUNUGAUAGCCUAAGAGAUUAGGUGUUCCCUUCGGGGACAGAAUGACAGGUGGUGCAUGGUUGUCGUCAGCUCGUGUCGUGAGAUGUUGGGUUAAGUCCCGCAACGAGCGCAACCCUUAUUGUCAGUUGCCAGCAUUAAGUUGGGCACUCUGGCAAGACUGCCGGUGACAAACCGGAGGAAGGUGGGGAUGACGUCAAAUCAUCAUGCCCCUUAUGACCUGGGCUACACACGUGCUACAAUGGACGAUACAACGAGUCGCUAGACCGCGAGGUUAAGCUAAUCUCUGAAAGUCGUUCUCAGUUCGGAUUGCAGGCUGCAACUCGCCUGCAUGAAGUCGGAAUCGCUAGUAAUCGCGGAU
rnacentral:rRNA from 2 species